GAUUCGUUAGUUCAGUUGGUAGAACAGCAAACUUUUAAUUUGCGUGUCCUCGGUUCGAGUCCGAGACGAAUCAC
rnacentral:tRNA from 2 species